rnacentral:rRNA from 1 species
GACGAACGCUGGCGGCGUGCUUAACACAUGCAAGUCGAACGGAAAGGCCCUGCUUUUGUGGGGUGCUCGAGUGGCGAACGUGUGAGUAACACGUGAGUAACCUGCCCUUGACUUUGGGAUAACUUCAGGAAACUGGGGCUAAUACCGGAUAGGAGCUCCUGCUGCAUGGUGGGGGUUGGAAAGUUUCGGCGGUUGGGGAUGGACUCGCGGCUUAUCAGCUUGUUGGUGGGGUAGUGGCUUACCAAGGCUUUGACGGGUAGCCGGCCUGAGAGGGUGACCGGCGACAUUGGGACUGAGAGACGGCCCAGACUCCUACGGGAGGCAGCAGUGGGGAAUAUUGCACAAUGGGCGGAAGCCUGAUGCAGAAACGCCGCGUGCGGGAUGACGGCCUUCGGGUUGUAAACCGCUUUCGCCUGUGACGAAGCGUGAGUGACGGUAAUGGGUAAAGAAGCACCGGCUAACUACGUG